rnacentral:misc_RNA from 1 species
GAUUACACAAGUGUGACAAUAAUCGAGUCUAAAUUCACAAGACUUCAAAAAUAAAAAGAGAAAAAAAAAUUAAGCAUUUACUUUUUUUCUUUCUUGUUGACAUUUUCUUUUUAUUUGGAGCCAAUGGCAAAUGACAAUUUGGGACGUGAUUUGUUUUUACCCAACAGUUUCAUCUGAUUAACUCUCUGUUCCUCUUCUUCUUGUUUUUUCCUCUUAAUAGCUUCUUCUUUUUGCCUUUGUAGCUCUUCCAGUUCCCUAUAUCUCUCCUCCUCUCUCUUUUGUCUCUCUAAAGCCUCUCUUCUCUGAGCCUCUUCUACUCUCCUCCUGUUCUCCUCAACCAUUCUUUCUACCUCUUCUUUCUCUUUUCUAGCUUGUUCCUACAAUAACCAAACCAAACCAAACCCACAAAUGCACAUUUCUUAAACAUCUAUCCGUACUUGAACCAAACUGUUGACCCGUAGUACCGAUAAAUAUUAGUAGUACCUCUUUCUGUCUGGCCUCAACAAGGGCAGCUUCUUUUUCCUUCUCAAGUUGAGCAGUCACUUCUUCGUUAAGCCAUCUCCGACCCUCCUCCAACUUCUUGUCUAUUUCCAGUUUUAAAUCAUUGGAGUUCAGGCUCUGUUCAACUUCCUUGCGAAUUGCUUCUUCCACUCUCUUUGACGUUUCUUCUUUGAGAAAUUUGGCCUCUGUCUCCUGUUGUCGCCUGAGAAAAAAAUAAAAAUUUAAGAAAACAGCUAACCACGGAUAUAUAUGAAAAAUGCACCACCUGAAACGUCCUCCAAUUCAAACAACAAUUAAAAUGACAACUGACUUUAUCAUGAUGCCUCAGCCCAUUGUUUUUCCUCUUCCGGUUUAUAUAAGCAUAUAUAGUAAAUUAACAAACUAACCUCCAUGACGAUAAGAGCACUAAAACAUGCUUAUCCUUUUAGGGCAUACCUCUAACUCAAUCCUGAUCCAUACAAAAGAGUUACAAAACUGGUGAACAGCAUAUUAACGAAGCACCAAAUUGGUCAUCAAAUAUAACAAGUCUAUAGCAGUAUCUUCCUUCAGAAAAUCCUGU